AGGGUUUGAUCAUGGCUCAGAACGUACGCUGGCGGCACGCCUAACACAUGCAAGUCGAACGAAGUAGCAAUACUUAGUGGCAGACGGGUGAGUAACAUGUGGGUAUCUGCCCUUUGGCCUGGAAUAACACGAGGAAACUUGUGCUAAUACCGGAUAAGUCUUUACGGAGAAAGCUUUAUGCACCAUUGGAUGAGCCCGCACUUGAUUAGUUUGUUGGUGGGGUAAUGGCCUACCAAGACUGUGAUCAAUAGCUGAUUUGAGAGGAUGAUCAGCCACAUUGGGACUGAGACACGGCCCAAACUCCUACGGGAGGCAGCAGUGGGGAAUCUUGCACAAUGGAGGAAACUCUGAUGCAGCGAUGCCGCGUGAGUGAAGAAGGCCCUUGGGUUGUAAAGCUCUUUCGUCGGGGAAGAAAAUGACUGUACCCGAAUAAGAAGGUCCGGCUAACUUCGUGCCAGCAGCCGCGGUAAUACGAAGGGACCUAGCGUAGUUCGGAAUUACUGGGCUUAAAGAGUUCGUAGGUGGUUGAAAAAGUUAGUGGUGAAAUCCCAGAGCUUAACUCUGGAACUGCCAUUAAAACUUUUCAGCUAGAGUAUGAUAGAGGAAAGCAGAAUUUCUAGUGUAGAGGUGAAAUUCGUAGAUAUUAGAAAGAAUACCAAUUGCGAAGGCAGCUUUCUGGAUCAUUACUGACACUGAGGAACGAAAGCAUGGGUAGCGAAGAGGAUUAGAUACCCUCGUAGUCCAUGCCGUAAACGAUGUGUGUUAGACGUUGGAAAUUUAUUUUCAGUGUCGCAGCGAAAGCGAUAAACACACCGCCUGGGGAGUACGACCGCAAGGUUAAAACUCAAAUGAAUUGACGGGGACCCGCACAAGUAGUGGAGCAUGUGGUUUAAUUCGAAGAUACGCGCAGAACCUUACCAACACUUGACAUGUUCGUCGCGACUCUAAGAGAUUAGAGUUUUCGGUUCGGCCGGACGAAACACAGGUGCUGCAUGGCUGUCGUCAGCUCGUGUCGUGAGAUGUUGGGUUAAGUCCCGCAACGAGCGCAACCCUCACUUUUAGUUGCCAUCAUUAAGUUGGGCACUCUGAAAGAACUGCCAGUGAUAAGCUGGAGGAAGGUGGGGAUGACGUCAAGUCCUCAUGGCCCUUACGUGUUGGGCUACACACGUGCUACAAUGGUAAGUACAAUGAGAUGCCGAGCAGCGAUGCUUAGCCAAACUCAAAAACUUACCUCAGUUCGGAUUGCACUCUGCAACUCGAGUGCAUGAAGCUGGAAUCGCUAGUAAUCGUGGAUCAGCGUGCCACGGUGAAUACGUUCCCGGGUCUUGUACACACCGCCCGUCACACCAUGGAAAUUGGUUUUACCUUAAG
rnacentral:rRNA from 1 species